rnacentral:rRNA from 1 species
UACGUAGGCAGCGAGCGUUGUUCGGAGUUACUGGGCGUAAAGGGUGCGUAGGCGGUUGUUUAAGUUUGGUGUGAAAUCUCCCGGCUCAACUGGGAGGGUGCGCCGAAUACUGAAUGACUAGAGUGCGGGAGAGGAUAGUGGAAUUCCUGGUGUAGCGGUGGAAUGCGCAGAUAUCAGGAAGAACACCCGUGGCGAAGGCGGCUCUCUGGAACGCAACUGACGCUGAGACGCGAAAGCGUGGGGAGCAAACAGG